UGAACUUCUAUAAACUCAAUUUGAAAAAAAAAAAAAAUUAUGCAUUUUUCUUUGGUGGUAUAACUAAAAAAAAAGACAGCUUACAAAAACUGCAAAUCUGAUGGUCCAAUCACAGACUCCCAAUGCAGCUCAAUGAGAAGUCUUUACAAGGCAGGUGCUUUGGGCAAUUACCGCCUCUUGAGUUUAUCUCCACUGAGCUAAAUAAACCAGGAAGAAAUAGUCAUUGGCAGAAAAGCUUACCAGAAACAAAAGUCACAACUUUCAUGCAUUGGAAACAAAAAGUUAGAAAUCACUUGGUGCAAAAAGGGACUAGUUAAAAUAAAAGAAAUUAAAAAGUUCAUGAAAAUGCAUAAGUGAGCCUGACACUUUUUUUAAAUAACUCCUCCUGCAUUAA